GACGAACGCUGGCGGCGUGCUUAACACAUGCAAGUCGAACGGAAAGGCCCUGCUUUUGUGGGGUGCUCGAGUGGCGAACGGGUGAGUAACACGUGAGUAACCUGCCCUUUACUUUGGGAUAACUUCAGGAAACUGGGGCUAAUACCGGAUAGGAGCUCCUGCUGCAUGGUGGGGGUUGGAAAGUUUCGGCGGUUGGGGAUGGACUCGCGGCUUAUCAGCUUGUUGGUGGGGUAGUGGCUUACCAAGGCUUUGACGGGUAGCCGGCCUGAGAGGGUGACCGGCCACAUUGGGACUGAGAUACGGCCCAGACUCCUACGGGAGGCAGCAGUGGGGAAUAUUGCACAAUGGGCGGAAGCCUGAUGCAGCAACGCCGCGUGCGGGAUGACGGCCUUCGGGUUGUAAACCGCUUUCGCCUGUGACGAAGCGUGAGUGACGGUAAUGGGUAAAGAAGCACCGGCUAACUACG
rnacentral:rRNA from 1 species